rnacentral:rRNA from 1 species
ACGCGAAGAACCUUACCAACUCUUGACAUCCCAUUGACCGCUUGAGAGAUCAAGUUUUCCCUUCGGGGACAAUGGUGACAGGUGGUGCAUGGUUGUCGUCAGCUCGUGUCGUGAGAUGUUGGGUUAAGUCCCGCAACGAGCGCAACCCCUAUCCUUAGUUGCCAGCAUUCAGUUGGGCACUCUAGGGAGACUGCCGGUGACAAACCGGAGGAAGGUGGGGAUGACGUCAAAUCAUCAUGCCCCUUAUGAGUUGGGCUACACACGUGCUACAAUGGACGGUACAAAGGGCAGCGAGACCGCGAGGUGGAGCCAAUCCCAUAAAGCCGUUCCCAGUUCGGAUUGCAGGCUGCAACUCGCCUGCAUGAAGUCGGAAUCGCUAGUAAUCGCAGGUCAGCAUACUGCGGUGAAUACGUUCCCGGGUCUUGUACACACCGCCCGUCACACCACGAGAGUUUGCAACACCCGAAGCCGGUGAGUAACCNACAAGGAGCCAGCCGUCGAAGU